UACAGAGGGUGCGAGCGUUGUCCGGAAUCACUGGGCGUAAAGGGCGCGUAGGUGGCCCGACAAGUCUGUGGUGAAAGCUCGACGCUCAACGUCGAGUCGGCCAUAGAUACUGUUGGGCUGGAGCACUGUAGAGGCUCAUGGAAUUCCGGGUGUAGCGGUGGAAUGCGUAGAGAUCCGGAAGAACACCGGUGGCGAAGGCGGCCUGCUGGGCAGUUGCUGACGCUGAGGCGCGACAGCGUGGGGAGCAAACAGG
rnacentral:rRNA from 1 species